GGAACCUACAACGGGGGUCUCUUAUCCACAGAAGCUGGCACAAUUGCUCGGGUGAUUGCUGAUGCAACUAUAACUCUGGCUGGAUAUCUAGGGCAGAGCAAGCUCUUGAACGUUACUCUUCUCCCUUCACUUCUGAUAUGCAUCGCGUCCAUUUUUGCAACAUGCCGUACUUACAAUUCUCUUUACUGAUGCACUCUUAGAUCGAUUUGUUUGUUAUACUUUUCUUUUUUGCCAUACGACAUACGAGGAAGGGAAAGGAGGAAACUGAAGGGCAUGCUACCUAUCGCAUUUUAACCUUCCACCAACAGGACGGGGGAGUGUACAUAGAGGCGGAUUCAAAAUUUGGAUGUUAUUGAGUUUGAAAGUGUGUACACAAAGUGAGCUGAC
rnacentral:misc_RNA from 1 species